AGAACGAUCGUUAAAGGUUUCGCGAUGUUGUCUACGCGUUGAAUUGCACCGUUCAAACGGCGGGUCGUCUUGACUUUGCAAAUGAAGUCAGCUGCAGUGACAACGCGUCUCGGCCUGUCUCUGACGUCGUUUCAUGGUAAUUAACUCUAUUCAUUUAGGAGCAAACGCUCGGCGACUGAAUAAACGUUUCCCCUCUGGUAAUUGACUGAGAGUGUCGCGCGGAGUGACGCAAGUAUUUUUUCCUUUUUUUUUAUACGCAGAUCAAACACUUGCCAGAGAGCACACGAAAAAGACGAAACUCCGACAUUGUUUGCGAAGUGCCAAUCGCUUCGAAGGUGUGACGACUAAAUACCGGCAGCAGUGUGUACGAACACGACUCGUGUUUGCGUUUAAUAUGUCGUUUCUCGCUUGGGGACGUGGACAUUUUGCGAAACUUUCGACAAGGAACUUCUUUACUGGCUGGAAAAAUAGGAAAUUAAUCGAACUAUCUCGAUUACGUAUGGUCACGCAUGUCCAGUGAUAAAUGUGGAAAUUAUGAUGAAAGUACAGCAAGCGUGUUAAUGAAUUCAGUAAUUAAGUCCACUCUUCGAGAUAUUAUCGAGAAACCAGUGUGAAACCACUUCGCUUCUUCGAGUACUGUGAAUCAGUUCCUCGAAUACUGUCCUCAAGUAUCGUGAGUUUCUCGAAUAUUCGCGAACCACCUGGGGUAGUUCGUUCAUCCCAAACGAAAACAUCGAGUGCAAAGUGUUAAUACUUUACAAGCUAGUCCAGGUACUUUAAAAGAAUCUUCUAAUAUCUUUACCAACUUCUCAAAUACUUAGAGUCCAGACCUAGCAGAGUCUAACCUCUCCUCAAGUACAUAUUUUGAGUUUCUAGAACAUUCGAGAACCACCUAGAGUAUCUUGUUCACCCUAAAUAUCGAGCGCAAAGGGUUAAUGGGAUCGUCUGGCCUAACAUCAUCUGGUACACGUUUUUCGAAAUCGUGCAUCACAUUAACAGGGUGAGAGUAUCCGGAACAGUUCGAUGUACGUGCAUCGUUGUUGCGGAGUGUGCGAGGUCGUGUGGUUCCAGCAGGAUGUCACGUGAUAUGCGGUGUGCGGUACGUUGGCCACUCGUGCUGUACAGUACGAUGCAUUUCCAGUUUGCUAGCCUGAGCUCUACCACCGGCUUAUGCUCGCCUCAAUAGAACGCGUGCUGCGACAUUCUUCGUUUUAUGCCGACACUGUCGCUGCCUCGAAUACGCGGUCACUGGAAUUAAGGGAAGUUCACAUCAUCGAGCACUUGUUAGAGUGAUAAACAACGUUAUCCAGAAGAUCGUAAUCCGUGAUUCAAGUCGCUCUAACGACGCAGCCAUCGAAUGGCAUGGACUGCCCGCGUAACGAAGCGUCGUCGUAGAUCACUGUAGAUCCUCCAGUGGUCUCUGCGAGUGGAAGACUUUCCUUGGGAUGAAUUUUCCUGUAUUGGAAAUGGAGGAUAUUUAGGAUCAUAGGGGUUGGGUUGGUGAGAAAGUCUUUUGGAAGGAUUUUUCUGUAUUCGAAAUGGGAUUGUGUAAUAGUUGUUAAUUUGUAGAAUUUGUUUGAGGGGUGUUGGAUUUAUUAGAAUGUUUUCUAAGAUUUUGUAGAUAUGCUUGAUAUAUGAAUUCAUUUUUUUGUCCAAGCUAUAACUUUACUUUGAAUAAAACUCUAAAAAAAGGAUGGAAUACUCUGUAUUUUGCUGUAUUAUUCUAUAUCAUGCUGUAUUGUCCUGUAAUACCCUAUGUGUUAUUUUGUACUGUCCUAGAAUAUUCUGUACUAUUAUGUAUUUUACUGUUUCUUAUGCAGUAUUAAGGUGCAUCGUGCUGAAGUAC